AUUAAACGCUGGCGGCAUGCCUUACACAUGCAAGUCGAACGGCAGCACGGGGUGGUAACACUCUGGUGGCGAGUGGCGGACGGGUGAGUAAAGCAUCGGAACGUGCCCUGGAAUGGGGGAUAACGUAGCGAAAGUUACGCUAAUACCGCAUAUUCUGUGAGCAGGAAAGCAGGGGAUCGCAAGACCUUGCGUUCGAGGAGCGGCCGAUGUCGGAUUAGCUAGUUGGUGGGGUAAAGGCCUACCAAGGCGACGAUCCGUAGCGGGUCUGAGAGGAUGAUCCGCCACACUGGGACUGAGACACGGCCCAGACUCCUACGGGAGGCAGCAGUGGGGAAUUUUGGACAAUGGGCGCAAGCCUGAUCCAGCCAUGCCGCGUGAGUGAAGAAGGCC
rnacentral:rRNA from 1 species